UGGGGAAUUUUGGACAAUGGGGGCAACCCUGAUCCAGCCAUUCCGCGUGAGUGAAGAAGGCCUUCGGGUUGUAAAGCUCUUUUGUCGGGGACGAAACGGUUUUGGUUAAUACCUAAGACUACUGACGGUACCCGAAGAAUAAGCACCGGCUAACUACGUGCCAGCAGCCGCGGUAAUACGUAGGGUGCAAGCGUUAAUCGGAAUUACUGGGCGUAAAGCGUGCGCAGGCGGUUUUGUAAGCCAGAUGUGAAAUCCCCGGGCUUAACCUGGGAAUGGCAUUUGGGACUGCAAGGCUAGAGUACGGCAGAGGAGACUAGAAUUCCUGGUGUAGCAGUGAAAUGCGUAGAUAUCAGGAGGAAUACCGAUGGCGAAGGCAGGUCUCUGGGCUGAUACUGACGCU
rnacentral:rRNA from 1 species